UACGGCGACAUCACGUUGAAACACCGGUUCCCGUUUGAUCAGAGAAGUUAAGCAACGGCGAGCCUGCUCAGUACCUUGACAGGGGACCGCAUGGGAAGAUUAGGUGUUGCAGG